rnacentral:lncRNA from 1 species
GAUUCAUAUUUGAUUGAUUUUUGUUGUAUAUUUUAUUAGGAUCCUCAAUAGCGACGGCUAGUCUUCCAGGUGUCCAGUCUUACUAGGGUCAGACACAAGCAAAAAGACAUCACAGUCUGUUCACAGGUAGCCAUGUAAACCCCAUUGGAGGUGUAGGUUUGAAGAGAAGCAGAGGAAAUCCUCCACCCAACCCAGAGAAGCCCUCUCCAGGUCAGCAGCAACAUUGGAGUACCCUACUACCUGACAGGCUGACUGAUGCUCCAGACAAAGGGUGUCCCCUACCAUCCAUCCACAGGUUGAGACCUGAAAGACGUGCCAGACCCUCUGCCAAACGUCGUCCUCCACCUCGCCCUGCAGACAUUGGUAUACACACACGCAAAACACACACACGCACAUGAAACACACACACAACAUGAAACAUACUAAACUUACUCAUAAACAUGUAUAGUUUCACAAUUACACCCAUCUAUGCAUGCAUGCAAACACACACAUACACACACUAUUUUGACAUCAUUCCCUCAUUCACAUCCACACCCAUGUAAACACCUUCACUCCUUCACAGUCAAUCUCCCUCACACACACAAACAAACUGUUUUUCAUGGUUUGGGAUAGACCCCUUAGUUCCAGUAAGGGGAAAUCUUAACACUACAGCAUACAAUGACAUUCUAGACUAUUCUAUGCUUCCAACUUUGUUGCAACAGUUUGGGAAGGCUCUUUCCUGUUUCAGCAUGACAAUGCCUCCGUGAACAAA